AAUUGGUACAGUGUAGGUAGGCACAGUAUAACAUGACAUAAAGGGUCUUGAAUUGGCACAGUGUAGGUAGGCACAGUAUAACGUGACAUAAAGGGUCUUGAAU